rnacentral:rRNA from 1 species
CCUACGGGAGGCUGCAGUGGGGAAUAUUGCGCAAUGGGGGCAACCCUGAAGCAGCAACGCCGCGUGAUUGAAGAAGGCCUUCGGGUUGUAAAGUUCUUUAAUCGGGGAAGAAUUUUGACGGUACCCGAAGAUUAAGCCCCGGCUAAAUACGUGCAAGAAGCGGCGGUAAUACGUAGGGAGCAAGAGUUAUCCGGAUUUACUGGGUGUAAAGGGCGUGUAGGCGGGCAUGCAAGCCAGAAGUGAAAUCUGGGGGCGUAACACCCAAACUGCUUUUGGAACUGUGUGUCGUGAGUGAUGGAGAGGCAGGCGGAAUUCCUAGUGUAGCGGUGAAAUGCGUAGAGAUUGGGAGGAACACCAGUUGCGAAGGCGGCCUGCUGGACAUUAACUGACGCUGAUGCGCGAAAGCGUGGGGAGCAAACAGGAUUAGAUACCCUUGUAGUC